UACGGAAGGCAGCAGUGGGGAAUAUUGCACAAUGGGCGAAAGCCUGAUGCAGCGACGCCGCGUGAGGGAUGACGGCCUUCGGGUUGUAAACCUCUUUCAGUAGGGAAGAAGCGAAAGUGACGGUACCUGCAGAAGAAGCACCGGCUAACUACGUGCCAGCAGCCGCGGUAAUACGUAGGGUGCGAGCGUUAUCCGGAAUUAUUGGGCGUAAAGAGCUCGUAGGCGGUUUGUCGCGUCUGUCGUGAAAGUCCGGGGCUUAACCCCCGGAUCUGCGGUGGGUACGGGCAGACUAGAGUGCAGUAGGGGAGACUGGAAUUCCUGGUGUAGCGGUGGAAUGCGCAGAUAUCAGGAGGAACACCGAUGGCGAAGGCAGGUCUCUGGGCUGUAACUGACGCUGAGGAGCGAAAGCAUGGGGAGCGAACAGGGAUUAGAUACC
rnacentral:rRNA from 1 species